UAGCUCAGUCAGUAGAACAUAGCGCUAACAACGCUAAGGUCGCGGGUUCAAUUCCUGU
rnacentral:tRNA from 1 species